CAGUCGCCACGGUAAUACGGAGGAUCCAAGCGUUAUCCGGAUUUAUUGGGUUUAAAGGGUGCGUAGGCGGCCUAUUAAGUCAGGGGUGAAAGACGGUAGCUUAACUAUCGCAGUGCCUUUGAUACUGAUGGGCUUGAAUACACUUGAGGUAGGCGGAAUGUGACAAGUAGCGGUGAAAUGCAUAGAUAUGUCACAGAACACCAAUUGCGAAGGCAGCUUACUAAAGAGUCAUUGACGCUGAGGCACGAAAGCGUGGGGAUCAAACAGGAUUAGAUACCCCCGUAGUCCCUGUCUCUUAUAC
rnacentral:rRNA from 1 species